UAACCCUUUACCAGGCGAAGGGAUAUAUUCCUCCCACAUCUUAUAUCGGUUACCGUAGUCAGGUUUUAACUCCAAACCUCCUACAAAAUAUUUUGUCAAUCCCUAAUAACAGUAUUUUAUGAUCUUCAUUCACAACACGCUUCUAAAUCGCGUAAUAUAUCUUUGGCAGCCGUUUAAAUUCACUUGAACUCUAAUAUCAGUAAACUACGGAGAAAUUCGAACACUUUCCUUAAUUUCUAUGAAACAGAAGUACAUAGGUCGAACAAUUUUCUGAUAUUUUGUAGAUUUUGAGUGUUGAAAGGUAAUGUAAUCGUAAACAUUGCUAAAUAUUCAUGCAUUAUUGUGUAUGACCAGAAUUAGGAUGUGGGUUGACAUUAUCCCAUGGCCUUAUUAGAGUUUAACUGUGCGGGAGCUAAUAUUCUUCCCAUGGCCCGGUAAAUUGUCUUGUCAUGUCAUAAAAACUCACGUAGGUAAUGAUUGAUAUAAUGUUUCGUAGUAGAUUUGGAGUUAAACCUUGACUAUGAUAACCGAUAUAAGAUGUGGGAGGAAUAUAUCCCUUCGCCUGAUCAAGAAUAUAAUAAGACAAAAUCGAGUAUGACAGUCAAUUACUUAGACAGGCGAUGGGAUAAUCGUAACCCACAUUUUUAUUUCUGGUUUAAAGGAAUAUCUCCGACUUUCGUAAAUACAUUUAUUACAAGGCGUUCAAUACGGUUGUAACAGUAUAUACAGUACGUAUGAAGACACGCUAGUUCUUAGGGGCCUGGUAAAGGGUUAAAUGAUUUAUCUACA